AAUAUUAAGUUCCUGAGCCUUUUUCUUCUGCAUUAUUAUUUUCUUCUUGAUUCUUUUUUGGGGAGGCUGAGGGAGAAGAGGAAAACUUGAUCUGGCGGGACUCCCAGCCGUGAACAGCAUGCCAUGCAGGCCCAGCGUCAGAAGUUCCUGAAUCUCGUGGAGUGCAUUCGUCUCCUCUGACAGCAAUACCAGAGGCUUGCUAGGUCCUUUCCCCACAUGGAAACAAAGACUCUCAACCUCUGCUAGCCAGAGCCCAGAAAGCACCCCUCCCUGCCUUCCGCCCUAUUUUCUGUAGCAGCUUCCCCAACAGGCAGCCCCUGGCCUGCGGGCCUGGACGAAGGGGAGAAUGGGAUCUCUCCAGUGGGGAUCGGUGUGUCAUGGCUCCCUACUAGAACACAAGCUUUCUGAGGGCAGCACCAUUUCUCAUUCAUCCUUUUAGCUUUUACACUUUUAAAUGCCUAAACUGUGGGAAAGGGAAGAUAGACUUUAGGAAGACAAGCCCCGUAAGGGGGAAUGACACACACACACACACAGCCCCGAGAAUCCCAUCCUCCAUUCGUCCAGGCCCGGUCUCCAGGGUCUAUCCCCCCGCCAGACAGCGGCCAACUGUCUGUCCAGACAAUCCAGCCCAGGCCUCCUUGGCCAGACCUAACCACCAGGCCGCUCCCUGCUUGGGCGCCUGGCCUUGCCUUUGAAAACCCAGGAACGCCUCUGCACAGCAGGGAGGCGUAGGGGUGAGACUGAGGGGGGGUGGGCAGACAGACUAAGAAGGCUAGGACUCCACAGCUUUGGCAGCACUGAGGACGCAAGCUUAAGGCACACUGACUGUGACGGCGCGGGCUUCGGGAGGGGUUGUGGGACUGAGCCGGAUGAGAAAGCUGGGGGGAAGAGCAAAGCACUGAGAAAAGGAAGGGCACCAGAGACCCCGUGCACUGCAGGUGAAUAGCUGGGGUCCCAGGGGUCGCGGAGAUGCGCCAGCCUCGUGUUUCGGGGAGGAGGAAAGCGGAGGGACUGGCCCAAGGCCACCCAGGCAGGGAAGAUGCCGGCUGUCCCCCACACUAGACCCCUCGCUGGGGCUCAGCUUUCCACCAGAUUCCCCCCCAGAAACCAAGGAUGUGGCCGCAGCCCCUCCAGACCUGGGUUGUCAGAAGCUCCCUCCCAGCUGGGACAUUCUAUGGCCCGAGAUUCCUCCCCGCUCUAACAUCCUGUGUUCUAAGGUUCCCCCCAGCUCGGACAUCCUGUGUUCUAGGGUGCCCCCCAGCUCGGACAUCCUGUGUUCUAGGGUUCCCCCCAGCUCGGACAUCCUGUGCUCUAAAGUCUCUCCCAGCUCGGACAUUCUGUGCUCUAAGGUCGAUUUCAGCUCAGACAUUCUACAUCCUAAGGUGGCUUCCAGCUCUGCUAUUCUGCGCCCUAAGGACACCCCGAGUUCAGACAUUCGAUGUCCUAAGGUCCCCCCCAACUCGGACAUUCUGUAUCCCAGGGUCACCCCCAGCUCGGCCAUCUUAUGUCCCAAGGUCCUUCCCAACUCAGACAUCCUCCGUCCUAAGGUCCCUCCCAGCCCCAACAUUCUGUGUCCUAAGAUAGCCCCCAAAUGGGACAUUCUGACUCCAAAAGUCACUCCCAAUUCAGACAUCCUCCGUCCUAAGGUCACUCCCAGCUGCGACAUUCUAAGUUCUAAGACCAUUCCCAGCUGCGACAUCCUAUGCCCUAGGGUUCCAUCCAGCUCUGGCAUUCUUCGCCCCAAGAUAGCUCCCAGCUCGGACACUCUGUGUCCAAAGGUGGCUCCCAGCUCGGCCAUCCUGUGUCCUAAAGUGGCUCCCAGCUCGGCCAUUCUGUGCUCUAGGGUCCCUCCCAGCUCGGCCAUUCUGUGUUCUAAGGCCCCGCCCAGCUCGGACAUCCUCUGUUCUAAAGUCACUCCCAGCUUGGACAUCCUCUGUCUCAAGGUCCCUCCCAGCUCCAACAUUCUGCGUUCUAAGGUGGCUCCCAGCUGAGCCAUUCGCCGACCCAGAGUUCCUCCCAAUCCCGACAUCCUCCGUCCCAAGACCCCCUCCAGCUCGGACAUCCGGUGUUCUAAGAGGCCCUCUAGCUCGGACAUCCUGUGUUCUAAGGUGGCUCCCAGCUCCGAGAUCCUGUGUUCUAAGGUCUCUUCCAGCUCCGAUAUCCUGUGUUCUAAGCUCUCUUCCAGCUCGGACAUUCUGUGUUCUAGGGUCCCUCCCAGCUCAGACAUUCUGUGUUCUAGGGUCCCUCCGAGCGCGGACCUUCUGCGCCCUAAGGAGCCUCCCAGCUCGGACAUUCGGUGCCUUAAGGUCCCUCCCAGCUCGGACAUUCUGUGCUCUAGGGUCCCUUCCAGCUCCGACACUUUGUGUUCUAGGGUCCCUUCGAGUUCUGACAUUCUGUGUCCCAAGGUGUCCCCCAGCUCAGACAGGAAGACUUCCAGGGUCCCCCCCAGCUCCGACAUCCUGUGCUCUAGGGUCCCCACGAGCUCGGACAUCCUGUGUUCUAGCGUCCCUUUCAGCUCAGAGAUCCUGCGCUCUAAGGUGUCCCCCAGCUCCGACAUCCUGCGCCUCCAAAGCCCUUCGGUGUUUCCCGGGGAUGUUCUAUGGGGGGGGGGGGUCCCUGAGGCUGGUGUUCUAGGGCCCCCUCCCAGGGAAGCGCCACAUUGUGGGGCCCUCCUGGCUUGGGCGGGGUGUUCUCGGCCCCCCAGCGCCGAGGUGCCGCGUUCUAGAGGCCCCGCCCCCGCGCCGGCAUCGUGGGUCCCCCGGUAACAAGCUGCGUUCUAGGCCGCCAGGGCCGCCGCGUUCUGGGCUCUCCCUCCCAGCCCCCAAGUUCUAGGUUUGAGCUUCUCUUGUCCCAGAGGGAUGGGCCCGGAUUCUAAGCCCCGCCCCCUCCCCCCGCGGGGCGGGCCCGGGUUCUAACCCUCACCCCCGCCGGGGCUGGCGAGGGGCCCCCCCCGGGCCCCGCGGGUGGUUCUGGGUUUGGGGCCUCCCGCGGGGCGGGCCCGGGUUCUAACCCUCCCCCCCGCCGGGGCUGGCGGGACCCCCGGCCCCCGUGGGCGGUUCUGGGUCUGGGGCCUCCCGCGGGGCGGGCCCGGGUUCUAACCCUCCCCCCCGCCGGGGCUGGCGGGACCCCCGGCCCCCGCGGGCGGUUCUGGGUCUGGGGCCUCCCGAGGGGCGGGGCCGGGUUCUAACCCUCCCCCCCGCCGGGGCUGGCGGGCCCCCCGGCCCCCGCGGGCGGUUCUGGGCCUGGGGCCUCCCGCGGGGCGGGUCUGGGGGUCAG
rnacentral:lncRNA from 1 species